rnacentral:rRNA from 4 species
GCUCGGUGAGGCCUUCGGACUGGCCCAGGGAGGUCGGCAACGACCACCCAGGGCCGGAAAGUUGGUCAAACCCGGUCAUUUAGAGGAAGUAAAAGUCGUAACAAGGUCUCCGUAGGUGAACCUGCGGAGGGAUCAUU